rnacentral:rRNA from 1 species
UACGUAGGGGGCGAGCGUUGUCCGGAGUUACUGGGCGUAAAGCGCACGUAGGCGGCUUUGUAAGUUAGAGGUGAAAGCCCGGGGCUCAACCCCGGAAUUGCCUUUAAGACUGCAUCGCUUGAAUCCAGGAGAGGUGAGUGGAAUUCCGAGUGUAGAGGUGAGAUUCGUAGAUAUUCGGAAGAACACCAGUGGCGAAGGCGGCUCACUGGACUGGUAUUGACGCUGAGGUGCGAAAGCGUGGGGAGCAAACAGG